CUUCUUGGUACUGGCACUGAAUGGUGUGCCUUAAAGUGAAGCCUGAAUGUCUCAGAUUGAUUUCAAACAAAUGCAGCAACAAAUCAAGGUGUUCUUCCUUGGGAAGUGAUGGGUGUUUUGCCUACUGUCAAUCUCUGGUUUCUGAGAAUCAAGAAUCUGGAAGUGCCUUAGCUGGAUGCUUCUGGCUCAAGACUCUUCAUGAAUCUGCAAUCAAGAUGUCAGUGGGGUUUGUGGCCAACUGUCAACACGCCUGAAGCUGGAGGAUCAACAAUCUAGACAAAGUUGGUGCCCCACCUACAUCCCUUCAGCACUCCCUGGAGAUCAGCUGCAGCUUCCCAUGUACACUACUGUGAAUCCCUUAAGCACCGUGUCUUUAUGUCUAAGAGAGCAGUCUGACCCGUGAGUGGUACAGGGCAAACGUGCUGGAGAAUUAAUGUUCCCAUAAGCAACUAUCAACCAAUGAGGGAUUGAGGCUGGUAGAUAAAAUUCUGUAGCAGGCUUUGUAGGUCCUGGAAUUCUGAGGUGUACUCUAUAUGGUCUCUCAGAGGGCACCUUUCCCCAGUUUUCCUACUUCCUCAUUUUGCUGCCUCCUAAAUAAACUUCUAAAACCCA
rnacentral:lncRNA from 1 species